rnacentral:lncRNA from 1 species
AUUGGCACACAGAACACACGAAAUACUUCAAAUAUGAUCAACAAUCAAAGUGCUACAUCAUAUAACACGUACAAAUGUGAUCAGCAUCAAGUUUACAAUCAGAUAACAAGGUCCACAAGUGUACAAUCACAUGAGCCAGAUUCUUCUACAUCAUAUAACACACAUACAAAUAGGAGCAGCAUAAAGGGCUUCAUUACUCUCAGAACUAGCUUCAAUGAGCUAGAACUAUUCUUCCUCCAACUUCUUUGUCCCGAUGAUCACGAAAAAACAUGAAAGCCCAGCAUCUGCACGUUACAAAACAAAAUGUUUAGGAACAAAAUAGAAGUAAAUCUAACAGCAUAUUUAACAAUAAAUAACAGAAUAAUGAAGUUAAUGAGACAUUUUAGAAUCAACUUGACAGUUGACAGUAAUGUUUGCAUUGGACAUAUCUAAAACUAAAAUUAUACAUAAAUGCCUAAAUUCCAAUUCCCAAUGCCUCAGUUUAGUAAACACUAAGCAUGGUACAUAGUAAAGAUUUGACACAACCAGAACUGAAAUCAUUUACUCUAUCAAGCAACAAUGAUGCAGCACACAAGAAAAGAGAGAUGCACAACGGAGCAACAUCGUAUAUCACACAAUAUGGACACUGUCAGCUCACGAAUGAACUUGUGGUCGCCGCCGUACACAGCCGCCAUAACGUCGGUCACCUCGUUGAUCUUGUCCUUAAAGUUCUCUAACUCCAGGUUGUUCCACUGCAGCUCGGUAUUUGCUCAACCGUAUGUGUACAUGCAUCAAGGCAUACAUAAAAUAUUCAAUUCAAUAUUCUCAGCUAAUUGUGAUGUAAUGAAAAUAAUUACUUACGGAAUAGGGGUAAAAAUUGAUUUUAGAGAUCAAAAUUUGUAGCGCUCAUUUCAACCAUGUUCAGAUAAACAGUAAAUUAGCAGUAAGGAUAUUAGUUACAUGCUGGGUGUGUUACUGCUGUCCAACACCACCACCACCAGAGACACGCAAGAUAAGCAUCAACACCACCAUGAUAUUGAUAUUAGCCACCCCACAUCACCAGAGCAUCAUAGGAGCACAUAUAUAACACAAGUACACGUGGGCAGCUACUGACAGACCCUAGAACCGCAUGAAUUUAUCACCAGA